ACUGUACUAUGAGUACCUUGCUUGAGCCGAGGGCUGGGUCUUCUCUUGCUGAGUGACUUGAAGACAGGCUUGUACAUUUUUAACAGCUUCCUCAUUGGCUGAUGAACUCAUCUGGUGUUCCUAAGACCAACACCUUCAGUCCCAUUUCACAAAGUCCAAAUCACAAAGGAGGAAACUAUUUAUUUGAUGAAUGCUGUAUUGAAGGAGGCUCUUCUUCCCUUUAUACCUCACGAUGGUCCAAAGAAGACCAGAUACAGAAGAAAAAGAUUCAAGGAGAAGGCCUCUGUAAGACACAGUCAAAGUGCUAUUUAAGGAUAAGCCCGUAAUCAAAUGCUCCAUACCAUCUGUUUGAGAGUUUUUUGAGACUGGGAUCACUGUCUGGAACCACAGGCCGCCCUCUGAAGGCUGGAGAGGUGGUGACAGCUGAACAAAUGAUGGCGCUACGAGUCCAUGGGUUAGGUUACCUGGGCAUGGGAAUCCCCAUAUAGCCAAUGCCUUCUCGGGUAUUAAGUGUCAGAUAAACACAGCUCCUCAACUGCUA
rnacentral:lncRNA from 1 species